CGCCUCAUAGCUAGCCCGCCCUUUCAACAACAACAAGUCAUUAUUAAUACCCCCAAAUACACAGAACAUCCCUGUAAAACAAACCAUUUUUCCCCCUAAGUAUGAGCGACAGAAAAGGACCUAUGGAGCAAUAGAGAAAGUACCGUAAGGGAACGCUGAAAGAGAAAAUGAAAUAACCCAGCAAAGCCUAAAAAAGCAGAGAUUUAAACUCGUACCUUUUGCAUCAUGAUUUAGCCAGUGAACCCCAAGCAAAGAGAACUUUAGUUUGCCAACCCGAAACUAAGUGAGCUACUUCAAGACAGCCUGAUAACAGGGCAAACCCGUCUCUGUGGCAAAAGAGUGGGAAGAUCUUCAAGUAGAGGUGACAGACCUAUCGAACUUAGUUAUAGCUGGUUGCCCGAGAAAUGAAUAGGAGUUCAGCCUCCCGGCUUCUUUAUUCCCCUACAAUUGAUGUAACACCUGAUAAUGUUAAGAAACCGCGAGAGUUAGUCAAAGGAGGUACAGCCCCUUUGAAACAGACACAACUUUUUCAGGAGGGUAAAGAUCACA
rnacentral:rRNA from 1 species